rnacentral:rRNA from 1 species
UACAGAGGUCCCAAGCGUUGUUCGGAUUCAUUGGGCGUAAAGGGUGUGGAGGUGGCGCCGUAAGUCGGGUGUGAAAUUUCGGAGCUUAACUCCGAAACUGCAUUCGAUACUGCGGUGCUUGAGGACUGGAGAGGAGACUGGAAUUCCUGGUGUAGCGGUGAAAUGCGCAGAUAUCAGGAGGAACACCGGUGGCGAAGGCGGGUCUCUGGGCCGAUACUGACGCUGAGGAGCGAAAGCGUGGGGAGCGAACAGG